rnacentral:misc_RNA from 1 species
UUUCCGUAGGUGAACCUGCGGAGGGAUCAUUACCGAGUUUACAACUCCUAAACCCCUACCUGAACGUUACUGUACUGUUUCCCCGGCGGGAUAUUCAUGCCUUCGGCGCGUCGCAGUCGCGGACCAAGGCGCUCGACGCCGGAUGAACCAUAACUGUCUUGUAUGUACCUCCCGGACUUUUGUAAUUCUGUACCAUCUCGGUGCCCCUAUAGGUCGAUUCGAAAACGUAUCAAAACUUUCCACAACGGACUGCCUGGUUCUGGCAUCGAAGAAGAACGC